AAGACUAUAGACCUGCGGAGUACCUGCGGAGGGAUCAUUAUCGUAUUGUAACAAUUGGGGGGGCCACCGUGGGCUGUCGCUGACCCUUUGAAAGGGGGGUCGUGCACGCCCCCAUAGUGUCAUCCUCAUACAAUCCAACUCACCUCUGUGCAUCACCGCGUGGGUUCCUUUCUGGGUCGAGUCAGACUGGCUCAGAAAAAAGGGGCUUGCGUUUUCCAUCCAAAUACCCUUAUAAAUCCA
rnacentral:misc_RNA from 1 species